AACGAACGCUGGCGGCAGGCUUAAUACAUGCAAGUCGAACGCACCCUUCGGGGUGAGUGGCAGACGGGUGAGUAACGCGUGGGAAUCUACCCAAUACUACGGAAUAGCUCCGGGAAACUGGAAUUAAUACCGUAUGUGCCCUACGGGGGAAAGAUUUAUCGGGAUUGGAUGAGCCCGCGUUGGAUUAGCUAGUUGGUGGGGUAAUGGCCUACCAAGGCGACGAUCCAUAGCUGGUCUGAGAGGAUGAUCAGCCACACUGGGACUGAGACACGGCCCAGACUCCUACGGGAGGCAGCAGUAGGGAAUAUUGGACAAUGGGCGAAAGCCUGAUCCAGCCAUGCCGCGUGAGUGAUGAAGGCCUUAGGGCUGUAAAGCUCUUUCAGUGGGGAAGAUAAUGACGGUACCCACAGAAGAAGCCCCGGCUAACUUCGUGCCAGCAGCCGCGGUAAUAC
rnacentral:rRNA from 1 species